rnacentral:rRNA from 1 species
UACGUAGGUGGCAAGCGUUGUCCGGAUUUAUUGGGCGUAAAGCGCGCGCAGGCGGUCCUUUAAGUCUGAUGUGAAAUCUUGCGGCUCAACCGCAAGCGGUCAUUGGAAACUGGGGGACUUGAGUACAGAAGAGGAAAGUGGAAUUCCACGUGUAGCGGUGAAAUGCGCAGAUAUCAGGAGGAACACCGAUGGCGAAGGCAGCUGGCUACGCAUAUAUUGACACUGAGGCACGAAAGCGUGGGGAUCAAACAGG